rnacentral:misc_RNA from 1 species
GUUUGACACUGAUUGAGCUACUAAAUUUUAUUUUAGAUUGAAUAUACAAAUAAUUAUAAAUUUUAUGUUGUUAUAUUUGGAUAUCAAAAUUCUUUUGAAAGGCCAGAUCAGAGAGCUGAUUUCUUUUGGAGAUGGUAUAAAACAAGCUGACCAGCUAUUCAGAACAAAAACUGUAGAGCUUGCUUUAGCUAUACUCAUUCUGCAGCAUCAAUUGGAAGCUUACGCCAGGAAUCAAAGUUCCAGAGAGAAAUAAUACGGCAUCUCUCAGAUCACUACUAAGUAAAAUAUAUAAGUAGCAUAACUAACAGACCAUAUACAUCACAUUACACCGAAGGAAUCCAUGCCUAAAUACGAUGUAUGGAUCAGAUAAAAUAUGAGUAAUAGGACAAAUAAUGACUAGUCAUGUGCAUAACUUUGUACCAUACUAUUGGUUCCAAAAUUGGGAUUCGCUGUGAAUCUCUGGAUUCUAUUCUGUUAUUGAGAACAAUGUUCUAUCAGGUUCAUAUUGCUCAAAUACCUUCAAGCCCAGAUCAGUGUGACCUUAUAUCCUGAAUAUAGCGACUUACUUGCUGAACACCAAGAAACAAGGCAUCAGCAACAAGAAAGAUUCCAACCAGACGCGCAGAGAAUAAUAAUCGAUAACCCCAACCUUCUUUGGCAGCUGCAACUCUUUGUUGAUCUGUCCAUCCAAGGAAUUCAGAAACCCCACCAAUUCCAGCAAACUUAAGAGGCUGAGGACCUUCUAUGACAAGAUCCUCUUCUGCAGCAGCCUCAAGGCCCCCUUGAACCCAAUAAAGGUUUCUGUAACCAGAAUUGCACAGCAACUCACAAGCAGCUAGAGAUCUCAAUCCUCUCUGGCAUGCAACUAUCAGGUCUGCAUCUUUUGGAAACUUCUCCUCAACCUUUGAUAAGAACUGGUUAUCAUAAGACAACGAAGGCACACCACUCCACCAGCCUCCUACAAAUGCACAAGCCAUUUAAAAACAAUGAAUGCACAAAGUAAUAAGAAAACCAAAAGUGAUUAAAGGAACAAUAAUCUUUCUACGCCUUAUUCAACGGUGACAUGCUUUGAGUCAGGCUGAUCAUCUGACAUUGACUCUCCCAUUCCCAUUAGGCCUAUAACCAGCAUUGUUGAAAUCAUAAGAUUUUCAAUUCAAAUCACAUGAUUCGAGUCGAUUCCCCUCCCUAGCAAUUCGAAUCUAUUGGCCAAAUCGAAAACAUACAUGAAUCGGUGCUAAAUGAGUGAAUCAAUAACGAAUUGGACAGAUCAACUGAUUCUUUCCCUAUAGCACUUUAAAGAACCAACAAGUGCAAAAUUCAAAUUUUAACUUUAAUAUUAGCAAGAAAGAAAAUUAAACCUCCCCCAAGUAAUCUGCACUAAGAUUAAAAUAUUAAAAACAAUUUAGAAAACAAAAAUUCACAUACAGUAAAUAAAACCAAAUGACUCUUCAUGCAUGAUGCAUCUACAUCUUCCACUCCUAUUUUGGUAUUCCCCACUAUUUGAAUACUUCCCAAGCUAACUAUGACUUGCCAUGUACAAUGAUAACACUACCUACCCUAGAUUUUAUAAUUUAUAUUGUAUUAUUAUAUUAUAAAGAGUUACGCAUCUUUUAUUGUUUAGUUUGUAAUUGUAUUAUGCAUUUCUUUUGGUUUUAUUCGCCAUAUACUCUUAGAUCUUGAGAAAGUUUAAAAGAAGGAGAUAAAAAAAAAAUCAAGAGAGACAAAGAGAAAGUGCGCUAAAAUAUCAUACAAGAUACUAAUAUGUCAACACUAACCAAAUAGAAAUGACAACAAAAGUAGAAUCCAUGAUAUAAGUCACACUCUGCAGAUCAACAAACAGACUUUGUUUUACUAUGUUAGGGGGCAAAAAUGAAUAGAUGUCCAAAUAAAAAUAUUCUAACACUCCACGUUAAGAGAAAACUGAACAUGCAACUCUCGCCAUUAAUCAGUGAAAAGCGCACCCAGUGCAUUCCAAUAGUCAUGUAUUACAAUUCACUCAGCACAGCCAUUAUAAACAUUCCUAUAAUGCAAGUGCAACAAGUGGCCCAGUCAAUUUCAUGCAUAUCUUAGAUAUAAGGAUACAUCACUGAAAGACCCUUAUUCUGUGAUGACUAUGACUCUAUAAGACUGUAUUUAAUAACAUUAUCUAAUGCAAAGCCAGCAUUCUAGUUAAGUAAUAUGCUUCUAUAAAACCUGGUCUACCUUACUCAGUUGUUAAAGUUUCAGUGCCGGGCGAUGUGAGGCCAGGCAAUGGCGCCUAACCUGGAUGAGUCACAUACUGCUUCCAAAAGGCGAGCCCCUUGGGCCAAAAGGCAAGAGGCGCCACCACAAGCAAAUAAUGUAUAUUUUUUGUUUUUUGUUUUUAAUUUUUCAAACAGCAAAGAUUAACCUAACCUAGCCUCUCCAUUUUACACCACCCUGCUGGAGAACUCCAUCAGACCACAACCUAGCAGGUAAUUUUCUCUCAUCCUUCCUCUCUCUUUCUCUCCUCUUCUUUAUUCCUCUCUCCUCUCCUCUUCUUCUCUUCUUCUCACCUGGUGCAGCAAAACAGCGCCUGCACAGAACCCCCUCCCCCCCUUUUUUGUUUCUUUGUAAAUUCUUCUUUUCUUCUUCUCUCCUUCUUCUCCUAUCCUCUUCUUCUCUCACUCGCGCCAUCUGCAUAGCAUCUGCACUUUUUUUUUUCUUUGUAUUUCUUUUCUUCUUUUCUCUCCUCCUUUUCUCUUCUUCUCUCACUCCCGCCUUCUGCACAGCAUCUGCAUUUUAUUUUAUUUUUCUUUUUAAUUUUAACUUGAGUAUUUUC